rnacentral:sRNA from 1 species
GGGCUGGUUGGGGACCGGCCGGCUUCCGCUCCUGCUGGAGCCCGGUGCGUGGAAUUCCACGCGAGUGCCGGGGAGUUCCUGGGGAGCUGGGCUUCUCUUUUGGCCCCCAGCGUGUUGACCGAGCCCGCUUCGCACAGCCCUUCCUAGGGUGUGGAGAGCGGGCCCCGCCCUGAAGGGGCACCGUGGGCUGGGGGGCCUGUUUUGGAGCAGGCACCGGUGGCCGAGCUCCGUGACCAUGAAGGUCAAGGUCAUCCCCGUGCUCGAGGACAACUACAUGUACCUGGUCAUCGAGGAGCUCACGCGCGAGGCGGUGGCCGUGGACGUGGCUGUGCCCAAGAGGGGACCACGCGCGGGGAAACCCGGAGCUGGCGCGGCUGCGUCCCGGGCUGGCGGUGCUGGGCGCGGACGAGCGCAUCUUCUCGCUGACGCGCAGGCUGGCGCACGGCGAGGAGCUGCGGUUCGGGGCCAUCCACGUGCGUUGCCUCCUGACGCCCGGCCACACCGCCGGCCACAUGAGCUACUUCCUGUGGGAGGACGAUUGCCCGGACCCACCCGCCCUGUUCUCGGGUACCCGCAGCGCGGAGCGCGCCCACCCCGCCUCCCGCCGGCCCCGCCCCAUCUGCUCUGACCCGCCCUCCCCCGCCAGGCGACGCGCUGUCGGUGGCCGGCUGCGGC